GUUCUCUCCGAAAUAGCUUUAGGGCUAGCCUCAAGUGAUGAUUAUUGGAGGUAGAGCACUGUUUGGACGAGGGGCCCCUCUCGGGUUACCGAAUUCAGACAAACUCCGAAUGCCAAUUAAUUUAACUUGGGAGUCAGAACAUGGGUGAUAAGGUCCGUGUUCGAAAGGGAAACAGCCCAGACCACCAGCUAAGGUCCCAAAAUAUAUGUUAAGUGGAAAAGGAUGUGGCGUUGCCCAGACAACUAGGAUGUUGGCUUAGAAGCAGCCAUCAUUUAAAGAGUGCGUAAUAGCUCACUAGUCGAGUGACACUGCGCCGAAAAUGUACCGGGGCUAAACAUAUUACCGAAGCUGUGGAUUGUCCUUUGGACAAUGGUAGGAGAGCGUUCUAAGGGCGUUGAAGCAUGAUCGUAAGGACAUGUGGAGCGCUUAGAAGUGAGAAUGCCGGUGUGAGUAGCGAAAGACGGGUGAGAAUCCCGUCCACCGAUUGACUAAGGUUUCCAGAGGAAGGCUCGUCCGCUCUGGGUUAGUCGGGUCCUAAGCUGAGGCCGACAGGCGUAGGCGAUGGAUAACAGGUUGAU
rnacentral:rRNA from 1 species